rnacentral:rRNA from 1 species
UACAGAGGGUGCAAGCGUUAAUCGGAAUUACUGGGCGUAAAGCGAGUGUAGGCGGUUUGGUAAGUCGGAUGUGAAAGCCCCGGGCUCAACCCGGGAAGUGCACUCGAUACUGCCAAGCUAGAGUAUCGGAGAGGUUGGUGGAAUUCUCGGUGUAGAGGUGAAAUUCGUAGAUAUCGAGAGGAACACCGGUGGCGAAGGCGGCCAACUGGACGAAUACUGACGCUGAGACUCGAAAGCGUGGGGAGCAAACAGG